rnacentral:rRNA from 1 species
AUCAUGGCUCAGAUGAACGCUGCGGCAUGCUUACACAUGCAAGUCGGACGGCAGCGGGGGUAGUGCUUGCACUACUGCCGGCGAGUGGCGAACGGGUGAGUAAUGCAUUGGAACGUACCGAGUAGUGGGGGAUAACUGUCCGAAAGGAUAGCUAAUACCGCAUACGACCUGAGGGUGAAAGCGGGGGACUUUUUUAAGCCUCGCGCUAUUUGAGCGGCCAAUGUCUGAUUAGCUAGUUGGUGGGGUAAAGGCCCACCAAGGCAACGAUCAGUAGCGGGUCUGAGAGGAUGAUCCGCCACACUGGGACUGAGACACGGCCCAGACUCCUACGGGAGGCAGCAGUGGGGAAUUUUGGACAAUGGGCGAAAGCCUGAUCCAGCCAUGCCGCGUGUCUAGAAGAAGGCCUUCGGGUUGUAAAGGACUUUUGUCAGGGAAGAAAGCAGAAUGAUAAUACCAUUUUGUGAUGACGGUACCCGAAGAAUAAGCACCGGCUAACUACGUGCCAGCAGCUGC